CUUUAGUGUCUUGCCUUCUGUUAGCUUUCGGGUUAGUUCUUCCUUUAAUAAUUCCUUAAGUUGUAAGGUUAGGUGCUGAUUGUAAAUCUUUGUUUUUGUUUUUGUUUUUUCCUUGGUACCGGAGAUGGAGAUCAAACUCGCGACCUUGCACUUGAGAGGCAAGCAGUGGAACCAUUGAGCUAAAUUUAGCCCCAGCCCUCUUUAUUUUUGUUUUUUUUGGUAUCAGGGAUUGAACUCAGGACCUUGGGCUUGCAAGCCAGGCAGCGGAACCACUGAGCUAAAUCUCCAGCCCAAAUCUUUUUUUUUUUUGGUACCAGGGAUCGAACUCGGGACCUUGAGCUUGCAAGGCAGGCACCAGAACCACUGAGCUAAAUCCCCAGUCCCCCCUCUUUGUUAUUUUUUAAUGCAAGUGUUUAUAGUUGUAAGUUUCUCCCUUUGCCCUUCUUUGACUAUAAAUUCUGGUAGCUGUAUUUUCAUUUCCUUUCAUUCCCAGGUAUUUUCUCCUUUUUCUGUGAUUUCUUCUCUGAUCCACUGGUUGUAUAAGUGUAGUUUAAUUUCCACAAAUUUGUGAGUUUCCCAGCUUCACUUCUGUGUUGACUCUUAAUAACUUCAUCCCCUUGUAGAAGACACUGCAUGCACCUACUUUGUGAGAUGUACUGAGACUCAACCCCUUUCCUAACACAGGUUCUGACUGAAAAACGCAUGGUGCUAGGGAAGGGGCUGGGUUUGAGCUGCUUGGGUCUGCAGAUCUCAUUAGCUCACUGUGCUGUUUAUGCCCUCUGUGUCCUUACUCGUCUUCUGGCUGAUUGUUCCGUCCAUUAUUCAAGAGAUAGUGCUGAAAUCUGUUACUGUGGAACUGCUGUUCCUUCCUUCAUCUGGUCAGCUUCUGGUUCGUAUAUUUUGAUGGCCUGUAAAUGGUAUAUGUGCUGUCGAAGAGAGCACAGGAAUAUCUGCUGACUGGGACCAAGGCAGAUGCACUCGGAUGGCAGCUGUGUGCAGGCCCAGAGAGCAGGCUGUGGAGACAAGCAGAAGAGUGGGGGGCCCUUCCUUGUGCAGGGACAGAGGCCCGCCCACUCAGGCCCUCUGCCCAUCUUGCGUACCCACUGGGCGCCACCUGGGCCUGACAGGACAACUGUCCCACAGGCGAAGGUGAGGACUGAUGGGGUAGAACGCCCAGUGCCAGGUCCUCCUGCGGAUGCCUGCCCCUGCAGUCUUCUUGUGUCCGCCUGUGGGCAGGGACGUUGAGCUCCCUGUUUUCAUCCACGGGUUUUGGCGGGAUGCCUCAAUGCGUAGACGCAGCUGCUCCUCAUUUGGGUGUUUUGAGACAGGCCAGCCUAGGUUGUAUAAUAAAUUGGAGGCCAGUGUGAACUACACAGGAGACCCUGUCUCACUACACCAGAGGGAGAGGGGCACUUAGAUAUUUCUCAAUAUCUGGAAAAUAAUUUUUCUGGAGUUUGGGGCAUAUAUUGAUUACCCAAAAAGUUUUAUCAUUCAAGGCAUAAUGUAUUAAAGAAACACCAAACUUGGACUUGGUAAUUUUUGUUAUUAGUCCUGACUGAGAAACAGCAUCACUUAACAUUUCUGAGUCUUAGUUUCUUGGUCUAUAAAGUAUGACACGCUAGAUAAAUGUUUUGUGAUACAUUCUUUUUUUCUGCAGUCUGACUAUAGAGUGUCUUAAAGUUCUGGCAAGAGAAAUAAAAUUAGAAUUAUUAGACCUAGUAGGUAAUGUGUCAAGAAAACUCACAACUAUGAAAUCAUUGCUUUUAUACAACAUCUGUUUCAACAAAUAUACUAGUUUUCUAGGCUGCUUUAAGAAAAUACUAUAAACUAGAUGGCUUAAAAUAACAAAAAUUUAUUCUCUCAACAAUUCUUGAGACCAGAAGUAUAAAAUCAGGGUAUUGGCAGGCUCAUGCUCCCUCUCAAGAUUUUAGGGAAGAAUCUUUGUUGGGCUUUUCCUAACUUCUGGUGGUUUCUGGCAAUUUUUGACCUGUACAAGCAUCACUCCAUUUCUUGCCUCUAUCUUUACAUGGGUAUUAAUUUUAUCUGGAUAUCUGUGUCCAAAUUUCCUUCUUAAAAAUAUACUAGUUGUUGGGUGUGGUGGCACACACCUGCAAUCCCAGCACUGAAGUUGAGGCAGAAGGCUUGCCAUGAGUUCAAGGCCAGCUUGGGCUAUAUGGUGAG
ensembl:lncRNA